rnacentral:rRNA from 1 species
AGAGUUUGAUCAUGGCUCAGAUUGAACGCUGGCGGCAGGCUUAACACAUGCAAGUCGAGCGGCAGCGCGGGGGCAACCCUGGCGGCGAGCGGCGAACGGGUGAGUAACGCGUAGGAAUCUACCUGAUAGAGGGGGAUAGCCCGGGGAAACUCGGAUUAAUACCGCAUACGCCCUACGGGGGAAAGCAGGGGAUCUUCGGACCUUGCGCUAUCAGAUGAGCCUGCGUCGGAUUAGCUAGUUGGUAGGGUAAAGGCCUACCAAGGCGACGAUCCGUAGCUGGUCUGAGAGGAUGAUCAGCCACACUGGAACUGAGACACGGUCCAGACUCCUACGGGAGGCAGCAGUGGGGAAUAUUGGACAAUGGGGGAAACCCUGAUCCAGCCAUGCCGCGUGUGUGAAGAAGGCCUUCGGGUUGUAAAGCACUUUCAGUAGGGAGGAAAGCUUGUUGGCUAACAUCCAACAGGAUUGACGUUACCUACAGAAGCAGCACCGGCUAACUUCGUGCCAGCAGCCGCGGUAAUACGAAGGGUGCAAGCGUUAAUCGGAAUUACUGGGCGUAAAGCGCGCGUAGGCGGUUUGAUAAGUGAGAUGUGAAAUCCCAGGGCUCAACCUGGGAACUGCAUCUCAUACUGUCAGGCUAGAGUACGGUAGAGGGGGGGUAGAAUUCCACGUGUAGCGGUGAAAUGCGUAGAGAUGUGGAGGAAUACCAGUGGCGAAGGCGGCCCCCUGGAUCGAUACUGACGCUGAGGUGCGAAAGCGUGGGGAGCAAACAGGAUUAGAUACCCUGUAGUCCACGCGGUAAACGAUGUCAACUAGCCGUUGGAAGGGUAAUCCUUUUAGUGCGCAGCUAACGCACUAAGUUGACCGCCUGGGGAGUACGGUCGCAGAUUAAAACUCAAAUGAAUUGACGGGGGCCCGCACAAGCGGUGGAGCAUGUG